CGAGUGAACCGGGAAGAGCUCAAAUUUGAAAUCUGGCGUCCUCAGGGCGUCCGAGUUGUAAUCUAUAGAAGCGUUUUCCGCGCCGGACCGUGUAUAAGUCUCCUGGAACGGAGUAUCAAAGAGGGUGACAAUCCCGUGCUUUACACGACGACCGGUGCUCUGUGAUACGUUCUCUACGAGUCGAGUUGUUUGGGAAUGCAGCUCAAAACGGGUGGUAAACUCCAUCUAAAGCUAAAUAUUGGUGGGAGACCGAUAGCGAACAAGUACCGUGAGGGAAAGAUGAAAAGCACUUUGGAAAGAGAGUUAAACAGUAUGUGAAAUUGUUGAAAGGGAAACGAUUGAAGUCAGUCGUGUCCAUUGGGUUCAGCCGGUCCCGCCGGUCUACUCCCUUUGGACGGGUCAACAUCAGUUCUGACCGGUGGAUAAUGGCACGAGGAACGUGGCACCCCCAGGGGUGUGUUAUAGCCUCGCGUCGCAUACACUGGUCGGGACUGAGGAACGCAGCUCGCCUUCAUGGCCGGGGUACGCCCACGUACGAGCUUAGG
rnacentral:rRNA from 1 species